rnacentral:snRNA from 1 species
GUGCUUGGUUCGGUAGCACAUAUACUAAAAUUGGAACAAUACAGAGAAGAUUAGCAUGACCCCUGCGCAAGGAUGGCAUGCAAAUCCGUGACAUGUUCCAUAUUUUU